GACUUGUUAGCUCAGUGGUUAGAGCGCCGUGUGAGGAACACGGACGGUCACGGAUGAGUUCGAUCCUCAUACAUGUCA
rnacentral:tRNA from 1 species